UUCUUAUGUUGAUAACGACUCAUGAUGUCUCCUGAUUGUAUAAAUUAACGGCGCGAGUGUAGCCCCGCCGGUUCAAUAAAUCAACAUCCUGAUUUCGCCCCACUGGCCCCCUGUUCCAGGGCUUCCAGAAUGGAACAAUAGACGCUACUGUGGGCCGUUCCACAACAAGCAUCAUUAAGCCUUUGUAACGAACGCUGCAUCGUUUGCAGUUCCGCAAUCCUGGCUUCAACCUCCUGCAAUCGCUCUUGCACAAUACUUUUUGAUUCCUGACAGGUAUGGUGCUCAGGAUCAAUUCGGAUCGAUAAAAGUUCACGGAUCGACUCAAGCGUGAAACCCAACUGCCGAGCAUAACGAAUAAACUUGAGACGCUGCAGAUCGUUUUCAGUAUAUAGAC
rnacentral:misc_RNA from 1 species